GACGAACGCUGGCGGCGUGCUUAAUACAUGCAAGUCGAACGGACAGGCCAUGAUUUUGCGGGGUGCUCGAGUGGCGAACGGGUGAGUAACACGCGAGUAACCUGCCCCUGACUUUGGGAUAACUUUACGAAAAUCGGGCUCAUAUCGGAUAGGAGCUCUUGCAGCACGGUGGGGGAUGGAAAGAUUCGGCGGUUGGGGAUGGACUAGCGGCAUAUCAGCUUCUUGGUGAGGUAGGUGAUUACAAGGUUUUUGACGGGUAGGCGGCCUGAGAGGGUGACCGGCGUCAUGAGGACUGAGAGACGGCCCAGACGCCUACGGGAGGCAGCAGUGGGGAAUAUGACACAGUGGGCGGGAGCCUGAUGCAGCGACGCCGCGUGCGGAAUAACGUCCUUCGGGUUGUAAACCGCUUUCGCCUGAGACGAAGCGUGAGUGACGGUAAUGGAUAAAGAAGCACCGGCUAACUACGUG
rnacentral:rRNA from 1 species